GGCCUUUUUCGUCUUACUUUUAUUGAUUUUAGCCAGUAUGACUACCCUUACACAGCACCACCCCUCGCUAAAACAAACACGUUCUCAGGAUAUCUGCAGCAGUAUUACAAAUAGAUCAAACUUCUUUUUUUUUUUUCUUUUCAAUACAAAACUUUUUUUUUCUUAUAUAUAUGUAUAUCCUACACGUCGGCCAUGUUUGUUUUUCUUCUUCUUCUUCUGUGUAAAGGUCCCAUGACUGGAGACACAUGCAUAUGACAUUUAGCUCGGAACAUUAUUUCACUAAUCAUAAUGCACAUAAUAGAUAUUACAGUACUGCAUUACAAAUUUAAAUAAAUACCAACAUACAGGUGAUUUCAUAUAAAGAUGCUUUUGUAUGAAUACUGAGAACACAUUAUGAAAGUUUUGCACAGCUAGUUCAUUAUCACAAUGCUAUAGCUUCCAGCAAACAGAAAACGGAUUUCUUGUAAAACUUUAUUCAAAAAUUGCACUUUGACUUUUCUUUUUUCCGUAUUCGUAACUUUAUGUUUGCGUCAACAAGCGAGCGUUGGCUAGGAUGGCACGAAACAAGCUUGUUGAUGCUUCUUGUUGUUUUCUGUUUACUGAAAACGCUCAAAAUAUGAUGUAAAAAAACAAAACAAAAGUUGAUAAAAAAUUAAAUGAAAAAAACAAAAGUUAAAAUGCGCCUUCUGCACAUUUUUUUUUUCAACAAUACUAUCGAUAUCACGUUACCUUCACCAAACAAAGCUAGGUAUGUUUCCAUUAAUACACACUGAUCGUUCCCCAGCACGUUACAGACGCUGGGGCUUUUUUGUUCAACAUCACAGGAGGCCGAAGGGACUUUCCCACAGUUUGAUAAAAAAACAAGUUUUCUUUAAUACCCCUGAUUUGAAUGUGUGGAUCACUGACCUGCAGAAUUCAAAACAACGUCACUCUUACCGAGCUCGUUUUAAAACUAUCGUCUUCUCGCUCGUGCAGAAAAAGGGCGGAAGUUCCCGUCUUUUUGCAUUUAUUGCUGCUCACAGUCAUUUUGAAACGCUUUAGUACUAUAAAAAACGAACAUAAAAUACUUUGUCUAAAAUUCUCCCUUGGAAACAAUGAAAGGCACUACUGGUCAGAAACAAAGAGCUAAACAAAAACAGCACUCGUGUCCAACUACGUCCCGCGGCUCGUUUGUCUUUCUGAGUUAGCCUCGACCCCGUGGUGUACCAAGAUUUGGCACGAUAAAAACAAAGAGAGAAUGAAACAAUUCCAAUUUGGAAUCUUUAAUUUUUGCAUUUGCAGAGAAUUCUAGAAGUCAGUGAUCCUGUGUUGUUGUUUUUUUUUUUUUUUGUUUUUUCAGUGGAACGCCCUUUUGGUAAGAAGCAAAGGAAACGUGGAUCACAUCACAGACCAUUCCCCGAAGCACGACUUACCUUUUUGGAAACAGAGCGUUGUCAAGUUUCGUUAGUUUGAGCUAUUCCUCUAGGAAUAAUAAAUACAUGAAAAAACCCCAGAAUUUGAUCACCCUGGAUUUUUGUAUAGAAUAUGGCAGUAGAACAAACAUAAAAGAACGACAGAACAUUAAUGUAACAUCAUCUCGUGAAUGGAUAAAAUCUGGUGGUUUGACUGUGGUUUGGGACUGUGGUGAUUUUCAAAGUGAGGAAUUAAACUCAUUUUCCUAUUCUCACGUAAAUUAUACUGAGUAAUCCACAAACCAUAGUACUACCACACUUUCCUACAGGUUAAUAAUAGUUAUAAUCCUCUAUGAUGAAAGUGCACAUAUUAAAAAUUAAAAAUAAUAAAAACAAAAAUAACACAAAACAUGUUAGUGUCUCGACAUUAAAGAAAUGACCCCAUGACCUCUGGCUUUGCACUGGUGGUUGUCAUUGGCCAAUUUAAAAAAAAAGCAUCAUGGCGUUUUGACUUCCAAUAGCAGCGUUAGGUUUUUCCAAUCAGUGUAAAACAAAUCCUUUCGUUUGUUUAUUUUUCAAGUCCGAUCAGGCUUUCGCGUCUUAUGGGGAGCCGUGCGUUGGCGUCUUUGUCAUCCGCACAGGGCUACCGUAAUUACUGCAAAAUGGAAGGGAAAAACAAAACAAAAAUCAGCAUUUGUGGUUU
ensembl:lncRNA